GGCUACGUAGCUCAGUUGGUUAGAGCACAUCACUCAUAAUGAUUGGGUCACAGGUUCGAAUCCCGUCGUAGCCACCA
rnacentral:tRNA from 1 species